GGGGAAUAUUGGACAAUGGGCGCAAGCCUGAUCCAGACAUACCGCGUGGGUGAAGAAGGCCUUCGGGUUGUAAAGCCCUUUUGUUGGGAAAGAAAAGCAGUCGGUUAAUAUCCAGGAAUUUUGACGUUACCGACAGAAUAAGCACCGGCUAACUUCGGGCCAGCAGCCGCGGUAAUACGAAGGGUGCAAGCGUUAAUCGGAAUUACUGGGCGUAAAGCGCGCGUAGGUGGUUCGUUAAGUUGGAUGUGAAAGCCCCGGGCUCAACCUGGGAACUGCAUCCAAAACUGGCGAGCUAGAGUAUGGCAGAGGGUGGUGGAAUUUCCUGUGUAGUGGUGAAAUGCGUAGAUAUAGGAAGGAACACCAGUGGCGAAGGCGACCACCUGGGCUAAUACUGACACUGAGGUGCGAAAGCGUGGGGAGCAAACA
rnacentral:rRNA from 1 species